rnacentral:misc_RNA from 1 species
CCGAGUUGAUUCGGGCUCCGGCCCGAUCCUCCCACCCUUUGUGUACCCACCUCUGUUGCUUUGGCGGGCCGCGGUCCUCCGCGGCCGCCCUCCGUCCGGGGGGUGGCCAGCGCCCGCCAGAGGACCAUCAAACUCCGGUCAGUGAACGUUGCCGUCUGAAAAACAAUCAAUAAACUA